rnacentral:rRNA from 1 species
UACGAAGGGGGCUAGCGUUGUUCGGAAUUACUGGGCGUAAAGCGUGCGCAGGCGGCUUUCCAAGUCAGUGGUGAAAGCCCGGAGCUCAACUCCGGAAAUGCCAUUGAAACUGUGAAGCUUGAGAACGAGAGAGGUGAGUGGAAUUCCCAGUGUAGAGGUGAAAAUUCGUAGAUAUUGGGAAGAACACCAGUGGCGAAGGCGGCUCACUGGCCCGGUACUGACGCUGAGGUGCGAAAGCGUGGGGAGCGAACAGG